GUUUGACCUCAAAUCAGGUAGGGCUACCCGCUGAACUUAA
rnacentral:rRNA from 1 species